ncrna:length=1387
AACUAGAACAGGCAUUUGCGCUGUAUACGUGAGCUAUCGAAUUAACGUUUAAGCGUCGUUUUCCGGCGUCGACCUCACGGCAAUAAGGUCGCCUUGAUGGCGACCUUAUUUACCUUUA